GAUGAACGCUGGCGGCGUGCCUAAUACAUGCAAGUCGAGCGAACGGACGAGAAGCUUGCUUCUCUGAUGUUAGCGGCGGACGGGUGAGUAACACGUGGAUAACCUACCUAUAAGACUGGGAUAACUUCGGGAAACCGUAGCUAAAACCGGAUAAUAUUUUGAACCGCAUGGUUCAAAAGUGAAAGACGGUCUUGCUGUCACUUAUAGAUGGAUCCGCGCUGCAUUAGCUAGUUGGUAAGGUAACGGCUUACCAAGGCAACGAUGCAUAGCCGACCUGAGAGGGUGAUCGGCCACACUGGAACUGAGACACGGUCCAGACUCCUACGGGAGGCAGCAGUAGGGAAUCUUCCGCAAUGGGCGAAAGCCUGACGGAGCAACGCCGCGUGAGUGAUGAAGGUCUUCGGAUCGUAAAACUCUGUUAUUAGGGAAGAACAUAUGUGUAAGUAACUGUGCACAUCUUGACGGUACCUAAUCAGAAAGCCACGGCUAACUACGUG
rnacentral:rRNA from 1 species